rnacentral:lncRNA from 1 species
AGCGUCACCAUCUUUAUUGCAAAGAUAACAUACAAAUACACAACUUUAAGCUACAUAUUUCAUUUGACAGAGGUAAUAAAUUGCCCAUUGAUCAGCACAGUAAAUUGAAUAUGUCAAUAUUACUGGUAAGCUAACGGUUCCAGAAAUCAGGAAUGCAGACAGGCUCUAUAGGCCUCUAUAUGUGAGUGUCUGUGUUCAACAACCCACCACAUAUUCUUACUGUAUGUUGGGCACCUACUGACAAAAAAAAAAUAACAUUGUUAUGAAUGAUUAUUUUGCUCAAUGACAUGUAUUGCUAAAUUAAAGAUAUUGAGGAAAUACAGGCAGGCAUCACAUUACAACAAGACAAAACAGCUCAAUUAAUCAUGAUGGUCUUGCAAGAAUAAAACCAAAGCUUGUUUUAUAUACUGUUUUUUAAAGCAUGAAAAGGUAAUGGAAUGGGAUUAGUGUGGCGUGUGAAGAAUCCAAUACAUUACCUUGUAUGCAGAACAAAUCACAUUAUUGUGGAAGCACCUCCUCUAUGAGCAUGAAUGAGGCUGUUUGAGAAGGUUUGACUCCUAAACAACCUGUAUACACAUAAUCUAAAGUACAAUACCAACAUAACUACUGUAGUAGGUCAAAGCUGUGGGAUGGAAAACCUUGGUAGAGCAUGGGGUGGAGUAGGCAUUGUGGUGCUGUAAAACCUUGGUAGAGCAUGGGUGGAGUAGGCAUUGUGGUGCUGUAAAACCUUGGUAGAGCAUGGGUGGAGUAGGCAUUGUGGUCCUGUAAAACCUUGGUUGAGCAUGGGGUGCAUUGUAGAGCAGUUAGAUCAUAGUGUGUUAUCUUAUCUCAUUAGUCUACCGGUUAGACCAUAGUGUGUUAUCAUUUCAGUAGUAGACCAGUUAGACCAUAGUGUAAUCAUUUCAGUAGUAGACCAGUUAGACCAUAGUGUUAUCAUUUCAGUAGUAGACCAGUUAGACCAUAGUGUGUUAUCAUUUCAGUAGUAGACCAGUUAGACCAUAGUGUGUUAGGAUUUCAGUAGUAGACCAUAGUGUGUUAUCAUUUCAGUAGUAGACCAGUUAGACCAUAGUGUUAUCAUUUCAGUAGUAGACCAGUUAGACCAUAGUGUUAUCAUUUCAGCAGUAGACCAGUUAGACCAUAGUGUGUUAUCAUUUCAGUAGUAGACCAGUUAGACCAUAGUGUGUUAUCAUUUCAGUAGUAGACCAUAGUGUGUUAUCAUUUCAGUAGUAGACCAGUUAGACCAUAGUGUUAUCAUUUCAGUAGUAGACCAUAGUGUGUUAUCAUUUCAGUAGUAGACCAGUUAGACCAUAGUGUGUUAUCAUUUCAGUAGUAGACCAGUUAGACCAUAGUGUGUUAUCAUUUCAGUAGUAGACCAGUUAGACCAUAGUGUGUUAUCAUUUCAGUAGUAGACCAGUUAGACCAUAGUGUUAUCAUUUCAGUAUUAGACCAUAGUGUUAUCAUUUCAGUAGUAGACCAGUUAGACCAUAGUGUGUUAUCAUUUCAGUAGUCUACCAGUUAGACCAUAGUGUGUUAUCAUUUCAGUAGUAGACCAGUUAGACCAUAGUGUUAUCAUUUCAGUAGUAGACCAUAGUGUUAUCAUUUCAGUAGUAGACCAGUUAGACCAUAGUGUAAUCAUUUCAGUAGUAGACCAGUUAGACCAUAGUGUGUUAUCAUUUCAGUAGUAGACCAGUUAGACCAUAGUGUAAUCAUUUCAGUAGUAGACCAGUGUUAUCAUUUCAGUAGUAGACCAGUGUUAUCAUUUCAGUAGUAGACCAUAGUGUAAUCAUUUCAGUAGUAGACCAGUUAGACCAUAGUGUGUUAUCAUUUCAGUAGUAAACCAGUUAGACCAUAGUGUGUUAUCAUUUCAGUAGUAGACCAGUUAGACCAUAGUGUGUUAUCAUUUCAGUAGUAGACCAGUUAGACCAUAGUGUAAUCAUUUCAGUAGUAGACCAGUUAGACCAUAGUGUUAUCAUUUCAGUAGUAGACCAGUUAGACCAUAGUGUUAUCAUUUCAGUAGUAGACCAUAGUGUUAUCAUUUCAGUAGUAGACCAGUUAGACCAUAGUGUGUUAUCAUUUCAGUAGUAGACCAGUUAGAACAUAGUGUGUUAUCAUUUCAGUAGUAGACCAGUUAGACCAUAGUGUGUUAUCAUUUCAGUAGUAGACCAGUUAGAUCAUAGUGUAAUCAUUUCAGUAGUAGACCAUAGUAUGUUAUCAUUUCAGUAGUAGACCAUAGUAUGUUAUCAUUUCAGUAGUAGACCAGUUAGACCAUAGUGUAAUCAUUUCAGUAGUAGACCAGUUAGACCAUAGUGUUAUCAUUUCAGUAGUAGACCAGUUAGACCAUAGUGUUAUCAUUUCAGUAGUAGACCAGUUAG